AUACCUCGGAGAGUUUGAUCCUGGCUCAGGACGAACGCUGGCGGCGUGCCUAAUACAUGCAAGUCGAGCGGACAGAAGGGAGCUUGCUCCCGGAUGUUAGCGGCGGACGGGUGAGUAACACGUGGGUAACCUGCCUGUAAGACUGGGAUAACUCCGGGA
rnacentral:rRNA from 1 species